rnacentral:tRNA from 1 species
UUAGAAAGAUAGGAAUUGAAC